UACGGAGGGAGCUAGCGUUGUUCGGAAUUACUGGGCGUAAAGCGCACGUAGGCGGCUUUUUAAGUCAGGGGUGAAAUCCCGGGGCUCAACCCCGGAACUGCCUUUAAGACUGCAUCGCUUGAAUCCAGGAGAGGUGAGUGGAAUUCCGAGUGUAGAGGUGAAAUUCGUAGAUAUUCGCAGGAACACCAGUGGCGAAGGCGGCUUACUGGUCCAUAACUGACGCUGAGGUGCGAAAGCGUGGGGAGCAAACAGG
rnacentral:rRNA from 1 species